GACGACGCUGGCGGCGUGCUUAACACAUGCAAGUCGAACGGGCUUCAUCGGAAAGCUUGCUUAAGGUGAAGUUAGUGGCGGACGGGUGAGUAACACGUGGAUAACCUGCCUAUCACACCGGGAUAACACCGUGAAAAUGGUGCUAAUACCGGAUAAUCUGUCGAGUCCGCAUGGAAAUGACAGGAAAGAUUGUAUCGGUGAUAGAGGGGUCCGCGGCUGAUUAGCUAGUUGGUGAGGUAACGGCCCACCAAGGCGACGAUCAGUAGCCGGCCUGAGAGGGUGGACGGCCACACUGGGACUGAGACACGGCCCAGACUCCUACGGGAGGCAGCAGUGGGGAAUCUUCCGCAAUGGGCGCAAGCCUGACGGAGCAACGCCGCGUGGGUGAAGAAGGCCUUCGGGUUGUAAAGCCCUGUCUUCAGGGAUGAAGGAGAUGACGGUACCUGAGGAGGAAGCCACGGCUAACUACGUG
rnacentral:rRNA from 1 species